rnacentral:lncRNA from 1 species
UUUGUUGGACAGCUGGUGCACCGGGUGCUUCUUGUACCACGCCUGCAGGCGCCCGACGUAGAGCUGGACGACGGUGGCGCCCGCGCGGCCGAACGCGGCGGCUUGCUCGAGGCAGUGCACCUGCGUCACGUGGCAGCGAACGCCCUCAGCCUCCAACGCCCGAACCGCCUCGACGCCCGCCCAGGUUCCGGGGAUCUUGAACAGGUACUUCUCGCGGUCGACGUUGAUCUCGUCGAACAUCGCGCGCAUGUGCCUCGCCUUGGCGAUGAUCUUAUCGGAGUUGAGCGCGGUGACCUUGUCCUCGACGAUCUCGAUGGAGACCAAGCCGCCGACGCGCUCAGCCAUCAUGCCGCCGAGGUUGACGAACGCCUUGUCGAUGACGCACUCGAGCCUGGCGUCCUCGGAGCCGGUGAAGUCCAC